UUUUACAUCAUCUAGAAGACUCCAGAAGCCACGAGACCGAAGCGGAGGCGAAACUGGGCCAGGCCCAGGGCGCCCGCCCUGGUAGCCUGGGCGCCCGCCCCCCUGCUGGAGCCAAAUCAGGACUCCUUCGUUCGGGAUAUUCCACCGACCUAUUGGAUCAAGAAAACAUAGUACCACCUCGCCUAUCGACCCAAAAACGCAUAGAAGGGGAGGACUAUAUAAGCAAGGCCCCUGGCCCCUGGAGAAGACA
rnacentral:lncRNA from 1 species